rnacentral:rRNA from 1 species
CGCAGCCUGACGGAGCAAGACCGCGUGCGGGAUGCGGCUAAUGGGUUGUACCCCGCUUUUCUCUGGGAAGAUGAUGACGGUACCUGAGGAAUCAGCCUCGGCUAACUCCGUGCCAGCAGCCGCGGUAAUACGGAGGAGGCAAGCGUUAUCCGGAAUUAUUGGGCGUAAAGCGUCCGCAGGGGGCACAUCAAGUCUGCUGUUAAAGGCCGGAGCUUAACUCCGGUAGAGCAGUGGAAACUGGUGUGCUAGAGGGCGACAGGGGUAGAGGGAAUUCCCAGUGUAGCGGUGAAAUGCGUAGAGAUUGGGAAGAACACCGGUGGCGAAAGCGCUCUACUGGGUCGCACCUGACCCUCAGGGACGAAAGCUAAGGGAGCG